GAUUAACGCUGGCGGCGUGCCUAACACAUGCAAGUCGAACGAGGUAGCAAUACCUAGUGGCAGACGGGUGAGUAACGCGUGGUCAACCUACCGUUGAGUGGGGGAUAACUCGCCGAAAGGCGAGCUAAUACCGCAUACGUCUCCGAGUGGCAUCACUUGGCGAUAAAAGGAGCAAUCCGCUCGAUGACGGGACCGCGUCCCAUUAGCUAGAUGGUGGGGUAACGGCCUACCAUGGCUCCGAUGGGUAGCUGGUUUGAGAGAGCGACCAGCCACACUGGGACUGAGAAACGGCCCAGACUCCUACGGGAGGCAGCAGUGAGGAAUUUUCCGCAAUGGGCGAAAGCCUGACGGAGCGACGCCGCGUGUGGGAAGAAGGCCUCGGUCGUAACC
rnacentral:rRNA from 1 species